GUGGUGGGGUCAAAAGGACACUAGUUUGAAAGUGUGGAGGCCUGAUUAUGAUUUUUACUAGCAUGUGACAAUACAUGAAUGUUUUAGCCUCUGGAUAACUAUUUUCUCAUCUCCAAAAUGAGGAGCUUAGAUUUAGAAAACUUUUGAAGUUUUUUCCAACUCUGAUGUUUGCUUGAUUCUGUUUCCUCCAUUCAGACAGGCUGGAGACAGGUCAGGAUAAGGUCACUGUCUCCUUUCUUGCUCAACUGAUUUAUUUAUCUCACACUUGUUCGGCCAUUUCUCUUUUAAUUGUAGGAAAUCCUAGCUGGUAUCUUGGACUAGCAGGACCCUGUAAAGGAGGACAUUGGAUUGUCUUCUACUGAGUCAAGCUGUUUGUUCCACCAGCACCAUAAAAUCAUCUUUUUGUUCCCACUCCAGAACUUUUGCUUUAACAACUAGGCAGUAAAGAAGAUUGUUUCCAAGGUAACAGAAAACUAUCUUUUCUCUGGCCACUUUCAACUGGUGUGUUCCUGGUAAGGAGCAGAAAGGAACUGACAAAUUGGUUUCUGAAGGACAUGAGAUAUACGGCUUUUUCUACUUCCAUCAGCUGGAACACACUGAAGGGACUCUGUCAAGGGCUCUGCACUGAGAUCACAGGUUAGGGCACACGCUUGCCCUACGGACAUUCCUGUUUUCUAAGUAAAAAUCUUUUUAUUGGAAUGAAGGGUUUGUUUAAACAGUUCAAUAUUGUGUUCACUGUAAUUACAUGUUUUAUUUGGACUUUUCCUCCAAGCUUUUUGGUUCUGUGUUUUUGCUAGAACAAUCUGUAUGUUCUUUCUGAGCCUGAUAUUCCUUCUCAUGAAAGGAGUUAUGUGCCUUGUAGAGGAAGGGAAGGGAAGAGAAAGGAGGGAAGAGGAAAUGGCCCACUUCUACUUUGUUCCCAGGUUGUCGUUUUCCUAUUUUGGAGAUACGUAUCUGUCACAUUGGUGAAGAGAAUAUGGAAAGAAGUGCCUAAUUCAUUCUCAAAGUUAAUAAAAACAAAUAUUUCAGUCCAAAGAACCAAAUAUAGUCAAAGGAGACUUGGAAUAUAUCCCAGAAAAUCCUGGGUUUAUAGUCAUGGCUUUGCCUCUAGGCUUUCUUCUCUUCUCUUGGGGCCAGAAAUCCUCUAGAGUCCAUCAUUGCAUUGUUUUCUUUGGUUUGACUACUGAAAUUGAGAGAAGCAGGUCAUGAAAAUCAGUCUCUGGAAGACAGACUCAUUAUUUAUGAAGAGGAAGGUUCCGGUGAUUCCACUAAAAUGUAAGUAUCUAUUUAUACUUAAGCAAGAUUUAAGGUAAUCAUAUUACUAUACCCGCCCCGUACACAGUUUUGCUUUCUGUAGUUUCAGUUAUCCAGCUACCUGUGUUC
rnacentral:lncRNA from 1 species